AUCCAGAUGACGAGUCCCAAAUAAGACAGGUGAAAUGCGCAUCGUGGAU
rnacentral:hammerhead_ribozyme from 1 species